AAGUCGUAACAAGGUUUCCGUAGGUGAACCUGCGGAAGGAUCAUUAACACGUAUCCAACGUUAAACAACCCUGUGAACUUUAAGUCCCCUCUUGCAGCCCAUGAGGAACAGCAAUCCCGGUAAAUCAUUGCCAAACAGUUUUGAUUCGGGACCUCUGUCCAAAAGGAGUUGCAAUCGAAGGGUGGAAGCAGUGGCAUGGCUUCCCCAAGCAGUUAGUGAAUGACAGUGUCACUGACUGUGUAAGGAUAACGCCUCACGGUUCGGCAGACAUGUCACAGGGUCACCACGCCCCUUAAUCACUCCACUUGAAAAUGCCCCGCCUAGUGGUAACGCGCUAGGUAAAAAAAACCGAACAACUGUUAACAAUGGAUAUCUUGGUUCUC
rnacentral:misc_RNA from 1 species